rnacentral:rRNA from 1 species
UAUUUGCCUGAGAACUACUGGCCACAGCUUAAAACUCAAAGGACUUGGCGGUACUUUAUAUCCAUCUAGAGGAGCCUGUUCUAUAAUCGAUAAACCCCGCUAUACCUCACCACCCCUUGCUAAUACAGCCUAUAUACCGCCAUCUUCAGCAAACCCUAAAAAGGAGCAAAAGUAAGCAAGAGAAUCACCAUAAAAACGUUAGGUCAAGGUGUAGCCAAUGAGGUGGGAAGCAAUGGGCUACAUUUUCUUACAAAGAACAUUACGCUACCCUUUAUGAAACUAAAGGACAAAGGAGGAUUUAGUAGUAAAUUAAGAAUAGAGAGCUUAAUUGAAUAGAGCAAUGAAGUACGUACACACCGCCCG